AGCUAGUUUGUGUCGACCAGCAUGGUGUUUCUAUUUUUUUUUUUUUUUGUGGUUCUAGGACCAACAAGAAUGUUGAUACAGGAACAUAUCCGUCUUGUUUAAAUCAUUGUUAUCUGCUUCCAGUGAUUUCCUUCCCUCUUUAAUUAAUCUUUAUCUGUUUUUUUUGUUUUUUUUUUACAGGAUGAUGAAAGGGUAAGAUACCAGCAGCAUUAGUAUUCUUACUUUUUUUAAUAUGUAAUUUGAUUUGUGAUUGGUUUAGUUUAUUUUUUAUGUGCAAUGUGUUAUAUAUUCCUAGUGUCCUUCGGAUCGCUCUCCUGGUGUAGAAGGCUGUGAUUGUCCUAGUGGUAAACCUGGUCUACCCGGUCUACCUGGGCCUAUGGGCUUCAGAGGGGAGAAAGGCAGAGAAGGACCCCCUGGCCCUGAUGGCAAACCUGGGAAACCAGGAGAAAAGGGAGCAUCUGGAGAGCCUGGUCGAGAUGGACAGAAAGGUGAAGGAGGCGAACCAGGACAAAAGGGGGAGCGAGGGCUGGAAGGACCCAAAGGAGAAAUGGGACCACCAGGGCCUUCAGGACCAACAGGCACUGGAUUUUCCAAACUGGAUUUAGAUGACUUGGGAAUUCAAGGAAGCAAGGGAAUCCCAGGAGAACCAGGGGAAAUGGGACCACCCGGAAAACCUGGACUGAAUGGUGAACCUGGGACAUCUGGUCUACCUGGACAUGCUGGUCCCAAGGUAAGACAGAUUUCAGACUGACGUAUAUCCAAAACUCUUAUAAUUCAACUACCACUACUCCUGAAAUCAUAAUCAGUCACAAAUAGGGAUGUUUGAUGAUGGAGGCAUAUUAAAACAGCUUUAAAAAGGCAACAGCCUCCAAUACUGCAAAAAG
ensembl:lncRNA